GAUGAACGCUAGCGGCAGGCCUAACACAUGCAAGUCGAGGGGCAGCAUUUCGGUAGUAAUAUCGGAGAUGGCGACCGGCGCACGGGUGCGUAACGCGUAUGUAACCUACCUUAAACAGGGGGAUAACACCGAGAAAUUGGUACUAAUACCCCAUAAUACCAUUGGAGGCAUCUCUGGUGGUUGAAAGUUCCGGCGGUUUAAGAUGGACAUGCGUUGUAUUAGUUAGUUGGUGAGGUAACGGCUCACCAAGACAACGAUACAUAGGGGGACUGAGAGGUUAACCCCCCACAUUGGUACUGAGACACGGACCAA
rnacentral:rRNA from 1 species